rnacentral:rRNA from 1 species
GACGAACGCUGGCGGCGUGCUUAACACAUGCAAGUCGAACGGAAAGGCCCUGCUUGCAGGGUACUCGAGUGGCGAACGGGUGAGUAACACGUGGGUGAUCUGCCCUGUACUUCGGGAUAAGCUUUGGAAACUGGGUCUAAUCCCGGAUAGGAACCAUCUUUUGUGUGUUGGUUGGAAAGUUUUUUCGGUGUAGGAUGAGCUCGCGGCCUAUCAUCUUGUUGGUGGGGUAAUGGCCUACCAAGGCGGCGACGGGUCGCCGGCCUGAGAGAGUGUACGGCCACAUUGGGACUGAGAUACGGCACAGACUCCUAAGGGAGGCAGCAGUGGGGAAUAUUGAACAAUGGGCGCAAGCCUGAUGCAGCGACGCCGCGUGGGGGAUGAAGGCCUUCGGGUUGUAAAAUACUUUCGCUAGGGACGAAGCUUUUUGUGACGGUACCUAGAUAAGAAGCACCGGCUAACUACGUG